AUGGAAACAGUUUUUUUGUUUUUUUCUUGUCUAUCUUUGAAGGCAAAUGAGGAGCUGGGAGCGUGGCUCAUUAAGGUGGAUAAGUCCGGCCUGCCUGGAAGAUUUAAAGCCUGGAUCUACCAGCAUUCCAUCCUGCCCCGAAUCCUGUGGCCCUUCCUUGUCUAUACAGUUCCAAUAACUACUGUGGAAUCCCUUGAAAGAAAGAUCAGUGGCUUUCUUCGUAAGUGGCUGGGACUUCCCCGCAGUCUCACCAGCGCUGCCUUGUAUGGGGCAAGUAACAGCGUGCAGUUACCCUUCAGUGGUCUCACAGAAGAGUUCAAGGUGGCUCGCACGCGAGAAGCCCUACAGUACAGAGAUUCUAAAGACUGCAAGGUGGCAUCAGCAGGUAUUGAGGUAAGGACAGGAAGAAAGUGGAAGGCUGAGAAGGCAGUUGAGGUGGCGGAGUCACGCCUAAGGCAGAAAACACUGAUGGGGGUCUUAGCAAUAGGGGGAGCAGGCUUGGGGUACGUCCCAAAGGCCCAGGUCAGCAGGGCACAGGGAAAGGAGAGACACCAGCUACUCCAGGAAGAGGUCCGAGCAGGUGUGGAGGAGGAGCGAGUAAGUAGAGCUGUAGGCCUUAAGCGGCAGGGAGCAUGGACAAGGUGGGAGAGCACCUUGCAGCGCAAGGUCACCUGGGCAAACAUCAUGCAGGCAGACUUCCAUCGGAUCUGAUUCCUAGUGCAGGCAGUAUACGACACUCUGCCAAGCCCAGCAAACCUCCAUCUGUGGGGAAAGAGCGAGACACCUGCCUGUCCCCUGUGCUCUGGAAGAGGGACCCUAGAACACCUCCUUAGCAGCUGCCCAAGGGCCCUGGCUGAUGGUCGGUAUCGUUGGCGGCACGACCAGGUGCUCAGAGUAGUUGCUGAAAAGAUUGCCUCAGCAAUCAGCACCAGCAAGCAUCAUCAGGCUCCGAGGAAGGCAAUCUCUUUUAUUAAGAAUGGAGAGAAACCCCAGGUGCGCCCACAUUUGACAACUGGCCUCCUCAACACAGCCUCUGAUUGGCAGCUACAGGCUGACCUGGGUAAACAACUAAAGUUCCCUCAGAACACUGCAAAAACAUCACUCCGGCCAGACAUGAUAAUUAUUUCUGAGGCCUCAAAACAGCUGAUCAUGCUGGAACUCACAGUGCCCUGGGAAGAGCGGAUUGAGGAGGCCAAUGAAAAGAAACGAGGAAAGUACCAGGAGCUAGUGCAGGAGUGCAGGGGAAGGGGCUGGAAGACUUUCUAUGAGCCCAUAGAAGUGGGUUGUAGGGGCUUUGCAGGACGAUCACUCUGCAAAGUCCUAGGCUGGCUGGGCGUGGCUGGGGCAGCCAAGAAGAGGGCCAUCCAGGCUGUGAGUGAAGCGGCAGAGAAAGCCACAAGGUGGCUGUGGAUCAAGAGGGCUGAUCCGUGGGUAGCUACUGGUACGCAAGUCGGGGCCUGAUCACCCCCGGCUGGGUCGCCUGGGCGAGGGUGUAUGAUGUUGUGAGACCCGAAACACCUGAUGACCCUAGGAUACAUCACUGAAGAUGCGUACCAGUGCAUCCAGGAGAUGUGUCUUUAUAGUGCUGUUGAGAGCUCACUGUUGUGCUGUUUCUUCUCUGCUCAGAAUCACUUUAUAGUUGCUAGUCUGACAUCUUAUGAUUAAUUGUUUGUAGUUACCUGUAAAUUCACUUGAAAUUGUAUUCAAAUCAACAGUGCACUCUUUCUCUGUUGUGGCAGAAAUAUUCAACCGCUUUGGAAAGAAAUCAGAAUGGCAUAUGAGAAAUGUAUUUCAAAACAGUUUCCACUAGACUCCAAAGUAAGUAGAGGAAAUAAUUAUCAUGAACAUAAUCAAGCAAUAAUUCAACAGUUUUAGGGCCUCAAGUUUUUUCAUUGCUUAAAUGACAAUAACACUGGGAACUUUAUUAAUUUUUAUUUCUUAAAGAUUUGGAUUUUAUAGGGGGCCAGUCUUAUGUAGUUGAACAAAGUAUAUCAGUUCAUAUCAGUUAUUAAGGAAAUUAGAGAGAUAUGGAAUAAGAUGUGUAGCCUAUUCCUGGUUGGAAAAUGGACAACAAUGUGUGCAAAUUAAUAAAACUGCAUCUAAAAGGGUCAAUGUGGGGUAACUCAAGGAUCUGUGACUGAUCCAAAACUCUUUGUACUUUUCAUUAAUUAUAUUUGUAAUAUUACUAAAUUGAUUAAAUAUGUUGUUUAUACAGAUGAUACAAAUGUAUUAUCUUAUGGAAAGAAAAUUAAAUGAUCUCUUGUAUGCAAUUAAAAAUGAGCUGGAAAUUCUUAAGAUGUGGUUUGAUAUCAAUAAAUUAUCCCUUAAUUAUCAAGGAACCUGAA